rnacentral:lncRNA from 1 species
CUCAGGAGCUAGGUGAAUGGGUUUAAACAUUUGCACUGAGAGGCAAAAUGGCCACAUUUAACUGGGAUAUGGCAUUCUUCUAGGAAUACUUGAUUAGCAAAGGAAGAAUGCCUUAAGUAAGUAUGUGCACCACUCCAGUAAACACACUGCACAUGCAGUUCCUCCCAAGCGCUGGCAGGCUGCUGCAUGUACAGAUUGCCAACGUGUAAAACCCCAAGGCAAAGGCCAAGCUGUGCACUUGUCUCCGGUUAUCCACUUGGCCCUCUUCCGAGUAUGCUUUACUUCUAUUUAUUCCUGCCCUAACAUUUUUGAUAAACUUUCACUCCUGCUGUAAAACUUGUCUCCAUCUUUCACUGUGUCCGAUACCUUUCAGCGGAAUUCUUUCUUCUGAGGAUGCAAGAACUGAGGUUGCUGCAGACCCGUACCGAUUCACAACUGCUAACAGCAGUGAUCUCAAAAACUCAGAGGACAUAGCUGCAGCCACCCUUGGAGAACUGGUGGAUAUGUGGUCAGGAACCUGAAGCAGUAGUGAAGUCAUUGCCCAGAUGCCAGCAGUGGUGGCCCACAGGGUAAGGGAUGCCUACUGCUAUUCCUUUGUUCUCUUGUGUCAGAGACUAGAGAUACCAUCCUGGUGAACAUACCUUUGCUCCCUGACUCAUCACUCAAGCCUAAGAUCAACAGAUGAAAUUUCAAUAAUCCAGAGCCCUGCACUCUUUAGAGCCACCUAAAUGAGCAGUCAGCACUAUUCUGGACUAUCCACAUCACUUGUGAACAUAGGGAAAAAUACAGCCUUGACUGAUUGGCUCCCUGUGCCACCCCCUAGAACCCAGCUGCCCAAAGGACUUCAUAUCACCCCAUAGGAGUGAGCCUGGAGCUCUUCUAGGCAUCUGGUUGACUCCACUGAGGGGAUUAUGAGCAUAACAGAGAUGGUCUAAAGGGCAGACAAGGACCUUGGACCCAUGCAGAUCCUUCUCAGUCAUCACAGGGCUGCAUGAAACAACUGUAGGUAAUGGCAGGCCCCAGACAUUGGAGGGGGCCUUAGAUCAUUUCAAGAAAGGGUAGGGGAAUGCUGAGGCCAAGGCGAGAGCAGGACACAUACCCUGAUCCUGGAUCUAUGCGGUUUCUGGGCCCCCUUUCUUCCAUUUAGACUCAUCCACCUCUUCCCUGACUGAUUUGCAGUUCAUCCAGAUUUCUUUCUGGUGAUCUGUGUACUUGUCUCAUUCCUGACCCACAGAGAAUGUUCUGUCUGUUAACUUUCUACCACCAAAGUGGACAACAAAAUAUUUUGCUAAACUCAGGCAGUCUUUCUGCAUAACAGAAAUAAUGCUACUACUUCCUUUUUUCCCCCUCUCGGCUGCAUACACGUGUACGUAACCAUGAUAUAUUUUCCCCACAGUAUUUCACAAGUGUUACUGGAAUUUAAAUGUCUUGUUUUGUAUAUGACAGAGACUGACUGCAUUAAUGUGAAGUAGACAAUAAUUUCCUCUCAUUUUUCUUGCUCAAAAAUAUCUCAAGAUCAAAUUUCUUCUCUA